AAAAAUGGGUUUAUUAUAGAUUUCGCAUACAUAUAAUUGAAUUGUGUGAAUAUUAUAAUAUGCUUCAUAAAUUAUUAGAAACCAUCGAUUAACACUUUUCCAAGAUCUUCGCUUUCUAUUAUGAAUCCAAUAGUAAAAAUCUUAUGAAAAAUUUGACUAAAUUUUCUAUUGAUCUAUUGAAUAACAUAGAGUUAUGCAUAGACAAGG
rnacentral:lncRNA from 1 species